CGGCGUGCUAAUACAUGCAAGUCGAGCGCGGGAAGCGAGCGGAUCCCCUUCGGGGGUGAAACUCGUGGAACGAGCGGCGGACGGGUGAGUAACACGUGGGUAACCUGCCUGUAAGAUCGGAAUAACUCCGGGAAACCGGAGCUAAUGCCGGGUAAUACUUUCUUUCGCAUGAAGGAAAGUUGAAAGAUGGCUUCUUGCUAUCACUUACAGAUGGACCCGCGGCGCAUUAGCUAGUUGGUGAGGUAACGGCUCACCAAGGCGACGAUGCGUAGCCGACCUGAGAGGGUGAUCGGCCACACUGGGACUGAGACACGGCCCAGACUCCUACGGGAGGCAGCAGUAGGGAAUCUUCCGCAAUGGACGAAAGUCUGACGGAGCAACGCCGCGUGAACGAUGAAGGUCUUCGGAUCGUAAAGUUCUGUUGUUAGGGAAGAACAAGUACCGUUCGAAUAGGGCGGUACCUUGACGGUACCUAACGAGGAAGCCCCGGCUAACUACGUGCCAGCAGCCGCGGUAAUACGUAGGGGGCAAGCGUUGUCCGGAAUUAUUGGGCGUAAAGCGCUCGCAGGCGGUUCCUUAAGUCUGAUGUGAAAGCCCACGGCUCAACCGUGGAGGGUCAUUGGAAACUGGGGAACUUGAGGACAGAAGAGGAGAGUGGAAUUCCACGUGUAGCGGUGAAAUGCGUAGAUAUGUGGAGGAACACCAGUGGCGAAGGCGACUCUCUGGUCUGUCUCUGACGCUGAGGAGCGAAAGCGUGGGUAGCAAACAGGAUUAGAUACCCUGGUAGUCCACGCCGUAAACGAUGAGUGCUAGGUGUUAGGGGGC
rnacentral:rRNA from 1 species